AUUGUUCUUAUUUAUGAAGUGGUGUGUGUUGAACAGAUCCCACAGGUGUGUCUCCUCUGAGCUACGUCAUGUUGGCUGUGCGUGUUGCCGGACUGAUCCUCAUGAUUGUCAUCACCGUUCUUGUCAUCAGAAACAAAUGGAACACAAAACCACUUGAAAAAGACAACAAUGUGAAUAAUGGCGCCGACGUCCAGUAUGAAAACGUGGAAGCACGUCCUGCUGCUGCUCGACCACAGUGAUCAACAACUUCAGAUCAUCAGAAAGUCAAAUACCAUCAGUCAUUGUACUCAUGUGAUCAAAGCUUUCAGUUCAAAUGAUUGGUUUAUAUUUAGGAUACAUAUAGCUCGCUCUUCAUACACCUCAAGUACUGCAAAUAUAUCCAGUGGUGGAAGAAGUAUUCAGAU